rnacentral:rRNA from 1 species
UGAGGAACAUGACCUUCGGCGGGGGAUAGCCGGCCCAACGGCCGGGUAAUACCGCGUACGACCACUUUGGGACAUCCCUCGGUGGUGAAAGCAGCAAUGCGCCGAUGGAGUGCCUCGCGGCCUAUCAGCUAGUUGGUGAGGUAACGGCUCACCAAGGCGACGACGGGUANCUGGUCUGAGAGGAUGGCCAGCCACAGUUGGGACUGAGACACGGCCCAGACCUCCGUACGGGAGCAG